rnacentral:tRNA from 1 species
GGAGAGAUGGCCGAGCGGCUUAUGGCAGCUGCCUGCUAAGCAGUUGGCCCGGCAACGGGCUCGGGGGUUCGAAUCCCCCUCUCUCCGCCA